rnacentral:tRNA from 1 species
GCGGACGUGAUGGAAUUGGCAGACAUGCUGGAUUUAGGUUCCAGUUCGUAACAGAGUGCAGGUUCAAGUCCUGUCGUCCGCACCA